GUGGGUGCUGGAAAGUUUUUCGGUGGGGGAUGGACUCGCGGCCUAUCAGUUUGUUGGUGAGGUAAUGGCUCACCAAGGCGAUGACGGGUAGCCGGCCUGAGAGGGCGACCGGCCACACUGGGACUGAGACACGGCCCAGACUCSUACGGGAGGCAGCAGUGGGGAAUAUUGCACAAUGGGCGAAAGCCUGAUGCAGCGACGCCGCGUGGGGGAWGACGGCCUUCGGGUUGUAAACCUCUUUCAGUAGGGAAGAAGCGAAAGUGACGGUACCUGCAGAAGAAGCGCCGGCUAACUACGUGCCAGCAGCCGCGGUAAUACGUAGGGCGCAAGCGUUGUCCGGAAUUAUUGGGCGUAAAGAGCUUGUAGGUGGCUUGUCGCGUCUGMCGUGAACCCGAGGCUCAACCUCGGGCGUGCGGUGGGUACGGGCAGGCUAGAGUGUGGUAGGGGAGACUGGAACUCCUGGUGUAGCGGUGAAAUGCGCAGAUAUCAGGAAGAACACCGAUGGCGAAGGCAGGUCUCUGGGCCAUUACUGACACUGAGAAGCGAAAGCAUGGGGAGCGAACAGGAUUAGAUACCCUGGUAGUCCAUGCCGUAAACGUUGGGCACUAGGUGUGGGGAACAUUCCACGUUUYCCGCGCCGUAGCUAACGCAUUAAGUGCCCCGCCUGGGGAGUACGGCCGCAAGGCUAAAACUCAAAGGAAUUGACGGGGGCCCGCACAAGCGGCGGAGCAUGCGGAUUAAUUCGAUGCAACGCGAAGAACCUUACCAAGGCUUGACAUGCACCGGACGACCUCAGAGAUGGGGUUUUCUUUGGACUGGUGYACAGGUGGUGCAUGGUUGUCGUCAGCUCGUGUCGUGAGAUGUUGGGUUAAGUCCCGCAACGAGCGCAACCCUCGUUCCAUGUUGCCAGCGCGUAAUGGCGGGGACUCAUGGGAGACUGCCGGGGUCAACUCGGAGGAAGGUGGGGACGACRUCAAAUCAUCAUGCCCCUUAUGUCUUGGGCUUCACGCAUGCUACAAUGGCCGGUACAAUGGGUUGCGAAACUGUGAGGUGGAGCGAAUCCCAAAAAGCCGGUCUCAGUUCGGAUUGGGGUCUGCAACUCGACCCCAUGAAGU
rnacentral:rRNA from 1 species